GAUGAACGCUAGCGGCAGGCCUAAUACAUGCAAGUCGAACGGUCCGCUUCGGCGGAUAGUGGCGCACGGGUGCGUAACACGUAUGUAACCUACCUUACAUUGGGGGAUAGCCUCUCGAAAGGGAGAUUAAUACCGCAUAAGACAGUAGCUGGGCAUCCAGUAGCUGUUAAAGAUUUAUCGAUGUAAGCUGGGCAUGCGUCCAAUUAGUUAGUUGGUGAGGUAACGGCUCACCAAGACGAUGAUUGGUAGGGGAACUGAGAGGUCAAUCCCCAACACUGGCACUGAGAUACGGGCCAGACUCCUACGGGAGGCAGCAGUAGGGAAUAUUGGGCAAUGGACGCAAGUCUGACCCAGCCAUGCCGCGUGCAGGAAGAAGGCGUUCUGCGUUGUAAACUGCUUUUAUAUAGGAAGAAACGACCCUUGCGAGGGGCAUUGACGGUAUUAUAUGAAUAAGCACCGGCUAACUCCGUGCCAGCCGCCGCAGUAACAC
rnacentral:rRNA from 1 species